GUAAAGUAGUUUAUCUAAGUGAACGAUAGGUUGUGGUCCUUUUAGAGGUUUAUGAAGCCCUUUACUA
rnacentral:tRNA from 1 species